CCCAAUGAGUGACGGGACAAAACCCAGCGACGUGGCCCGGCUGCCGCCGGCUUUCAGACUGGCCGGUACUGAGGGGGCCGCGGGGCCUGCCGGGAGGGCGGGCACGGCAGGAGUGAGGCGGUGUCAAAUGUCACUGCGAGCAACACGGGACAUCCGGAGAGCUUUCACUGCCGCUCUAUAGGCUCUGCACCGUCAAGGGGAGAUGAAGGCAAACACCAGAGGAGGUUCCAGUGCAGCGAAACCCCACGGUCCCCAGGGAGCGGCAGCAGCUCACUCGGCUUCCCACUCCGAGGCACUGCGGGCACUGCCAGCUGAUGGACCAGGAUGUCGGGCUCCAUGGAGACAGCCGCACAGACAGCCUCCCCGAUGCCGCCUGGGGAAACAAAGGACAGCAGGCUCUGUG